CUCCUUUGCUUGGUGAAAUACUUCAAAAGAUUAUCUUCAUAUUGGGGUUGAAACUUUUGCUAAAUAUCUGCUAACAAGAAGAAAAAGGUCUCUGGAUGGCAGACUCUGAAAAGAAAUGCAGUUUUAAGAGAUACCAAAGAUGCUGACUAGAAAGAUUAAGCUUUGGGACAUUAAUGCCCAUAUAACCUGUCGUCUGUGCAAUGGAUACCUGAUUGAUGCCACCACUGUA